GUUUCUAUGGUGUAAUUGCACAUUAGAUUUUCAUUCUAAAGGGAUAAAGUUAUUUAUUAGAAACA
rnacentral:tRNA from 1 species